rnacentral:rRNA from 1 species
GAACGUGAUCCAGGCUUCGGUCUGGUGAAAGUGGCAGACGGGUGAGUAACGCGUGGGAACCUGCCCUGUGGUAGGGAAUAACCGCGGGAAACUGCGGCUAAUACCCUAUGAGUCCUUCGGGAGAAAGAUUUAUCGCCAUAGGAGGGGCCCGCGUCGGAUUAGGUAGUUGGUGGGGUAAUUUCCUACCAAGCCUCCGAUCCGUACCUGGUCUGAGAGGAUGAUCAGCCACACUGGGACUGAGAUACGGCCCAGACUCCUACGGGAGGCAGCAGUGGGGAAGGCUUGACAAUGGGGGCAACCCUGAUCCAUCGAUGCCGCGUGGGUGAUGAAGGCCUUCGGGUUGUAAAGCCCUUUCGGGGGGGAAGAUGAUGACGGUACCCGCAGAAGAACCCCCGGCUUACUUUCGUG